UGGGGAAUAUUGCACAAUGGGCGCAAGCCUGAUGCAGCGACGCCGCGUGAGGGAUGACGGCCUUCGGGUUGUAAACCUCUGUCAGCAGGGAAGAAGAGAAAUUGACGGUACCUGCAGAGAAAGCGCCGGCUAACUACGUGCCAGCAGCCGCGGUAAUACGUAGGGCGCGAGCGUUGUCCGGAAUUAUUGGGCGUAAAGAGCUUGUAGGCGGUUUGUCGCGUCUGCUGUGAAAGGCCGGGGCUUAACCCCGUGUAUUGCAGUGGGUACGGGCAGACUAGAGUGCAGUAGGGGAGACUGGAAUUCCUGGUGUAGCGGUGGAAUGCGCAGAUAUCAGGAGGAACACCGAUGGCGAAGGCAGGUCUCUGGGCUGUAACUGACGCUGAGAAGCGAAAGCAUGGGGAGCGAACAGGAUUAGAUACCCUGGUAGUCCAUGCCGUAAACGUUGGGCACUAGGUGUGGGGGACAUUCCACGUUUUCCGCGCCGUAGCUAACGCAUUAAGUGCCCCGCCUGGGGAGUACGGCCGCAAGGCUA
rnacentral:rRNA from 1 species